rnacentral:rRNA from 1 species
GCACAAGCAGCGGAGCGUGUGGUUUAAUUCGAUGUUACACGAAGAACCUUACCAGGGUUUGACAUGCAAGUGGUAGGAAGCCGAAAGGUGACCGACCCUUCGGGGAGCUUGCACAGGUGCUGCAUGGCUGUCGUCAGCUCGUGUCGUGAGAUGUUCGGUUAAGUCCGCUAACGAGCGCAACCCUCGCUGUGUGUUAUAUGUGUCACACGGGACUGCCGGUCUUAAGCCGGAGGAAGGUGGGAUGAUGUCAAGUCAGCAUGGCCUUUAUAUCCUGGGCUACACACACGCUACAAUGGCAGGUACAGAGGGCUGCGAAGCCGCGAGGUGGAGCGAAUCCCAGAAAACCUGUCUCAGUCCGGAUUGAAGUCUGCAACUCGACUUCAUGAAGGCGGAAUCGCUAGUAACCGCGAAUCAGCAGGUCGCGGUGAAUACGUUCCCGGGCCUU